UACGUAGGGUGCAAGCGUUAAUCGGAAUUACUGGGCGUAAAGCGUGCGCAGGCGGUUGUGCAAGACAGGUGUGAAAUCCCCGGGCUUAACCUGGGAACUGCAUUUGUGACUGCAAGGCUGGAGUGCGGCAGAGGGGGAUGGAAUUCCGCGUGUAGCAGUGGAAUGCGUAGAUAUGCGGAGGAACACCGAUGGCGAAGGCAAUCCCCUGGGCCUGCACUGACGCUCAUGCACGAAAGCGUGGGGAGCAAACAGG
rnacentral:rRNA from 1 species